rnacentral:misc_RNA from 1 species
UCUCGGCUUAUCACCGGCAGUCCCCCUAGAGUGCCCAACUGAAUGAUGGCAACUAAGGGCGAGGGUUGCGCUCGUUGCGGGACUUAACCCAACAUCUCACGACACGAGCUGACGACAGCCAUGCAGCACCUCUACACGGACCUCCGAAGAGGGGGACUCAUCUCUGAGCCUUGCCCGUGCAGUUCAAACCCAGGUAAGGUUCUGCGCGUUGCUUCGAAUUAAACCACAUGCUCCACCGCAUGUGCGGGCCCCCGUCAAUUCCUUUGAGUUUCAGUCUUGCGACCGUACUCCCCAGGCGGAGUGCUUAAUGUGUUGACUUCGGCACAGCAGGGGUCGAUACCCGCUACACCAAGCACUCAUCGUUUACGGCGUGGACUAC